rnacentral:rRNA from 1 species
UACGUAGGGUGCAAGCGUUAAUCGGAAUUACUGGGCGUAAAGCGUGCGCAGGCGGUUAUGCAAGACAGAUGUGAAAUCCCCGGGCUUAACCUGGGAACUGCAUUUGUGACUGCAUAGCUGGAGUACGGUAGAGGGGGAUGGAAUUCCGCGUGUAGCAGUGAAAUGCGUAGAUAUGCGGAGGAACACCGAUGGCGAAGGCAGUCCCCUGGACCUGUACUGACGCUCAUGCACGAAAGCGUGGGGAGCAAACGGG